rnacentral:lncRNA from 1 species
GCAAACAUAUUAUGUCUAACUUUCCAUGAUCUUCCUUUCCUCUGAUCAUCCCUUUCUUCUAUUCUGAUUCAUGGUGAUUAAUCAUCCCCAAGUUUGACGACAAUUUCUCACACACUGAGGGUUAACAUGUGAUCACCUGGAUAGCAGAAAUCCAAAGGAUGUCUUCUCUGUUAACAUGAUCUUAAUGGACGAAGAGAUGCUUUUGGUUAUUUGACCAUGUAAAAGGUACAUCCAUAACACGAUUAAGCCCUCAAAUCUCACAUGGACCGUCAUGUACCGAAAGCAACACAAGAUGCGCAAAAUUUUCUGAUAAGCUGCAUGUGUUAUGUUAAUGUUAAGCAAAGCUUUUAGUUAUUAUAUUAGUAUUUGAUUUAAAUGUUAGAAUAUAACCACCAUCAUUAAAUAUGAGUUAAGGUUUCAACCGAAUUUAU